rnacentral:rRNA from 1 species
CAAGUCAAGGGGCUCGUUGUAGCAAUACGGCGAGCCACUGGCGCACGGGUGAGUAACGCGUAGGUUAUCUACCCCCAACUCAGGCAUAACACCUCCAACGAGGUGCUAAUACCUGAUGAGGAGGCAGCUCCAAAGACCUUCGGAUCGGUUGGGGAUGAGCCUGCGUCCGAUUAGGUAGUUGGUAGGGUAAUGGCCUACCAAGCCGACGAUCGGUAGCUGGCCUGAGAGGGUGGUCAGCCACACUGGGACUGAGACACGGCCCAGACUCCUACGGGAGGCAGCAGUGAGGAAUAUUGGGCAAUGGGCGCAAGCCUGACCCAGCGACGCCGCGUGUGGGAUGACAGGGCUAUGCCUUGUAAACCACUGUCGGGUGGGACGAAAAGCGAGCUACGGCUCGCCGGGACGGUACCACCAAAGGAAGGGUCGGCUAACUACGUGCCAGCAGCCGCGGUAAUACGUAGGACCCAAGCGUUAUCCGGAUUCACUGGGUGUAAAGGGUGUGUAGGCGGGCGUGCGCGUCUGGGGUGAAAGGUUCCGGCUCAACCGGAAAUAUGCCUUGGAUACGGCACGUCUUGGGUGCGGGAGAGGACGGUGGAAUUCCUGGUGUAGCGGUGAAAUGCGUAGAUA